GACGAACGCUGGCGGCGUGCUUAACACAUGCAAGUCGAACGAUGAACUUGGAGCUUGCUCUGGGGGAUUAGUGGCGAACGGGUGAGUAACACGUGAGUAACCUGCCCUGGACUCUGGGAUAACUUCGAGAAAUCGGAGCUAAUACCGGAUAGGACCUUGCACCGCAUGGGGUGGGGUGGAAAGCUUUUCGGUUUGGGAUGGACUCGCGGCCUAUCAGCUUGUUGGUGAGGUAAUGGCUCACCAAGGCGUCGACGGGUAGCCGGCCUGAGAGGGUGACCGGCCACACUGGGACUGAGACACGGCCCAGACUCCUACGGGAGGCAGCAGUGGGGAAUAUUGCACAAUGGGCGCAAGCCUGAUGCAGCAACGCCGCGUGCGGGAUGACGGCCUUCGGGUUGUAAACCGCUUUUAGUAGGGAAGAAGCCUUCGGGUGACGGUACCUGCAGAAAAAGGACCGGCUAACUACGUGCCAGCAGCCGCCGUAAUAC
rnacentral:rRNA from 1 species